rnacentral:rRNA from 1 species
UGGGGAAUAUUGGACAAUGGGGGAAACCCUGAUCCAGCAAUGCCGCGUGAGUGAAGAAGGCCUUUUGGUUGUAAAGCACUUUAAGCGAGGAGGAGGCUACUAGUAUUAAUACUACUGGAUAGUGGACGUUACUCGCAGAAUAAGCACCGGCUAACUCUGUGCCAGCAGCCGCGGUAAUACAGAGGGUGCGAGCGUUAAUCGGAUUUACUGGGCGUAAAGCGUGCGUAGGCGGCUGAUUAAGUCGGAUGUGAAAUCCCUGAGCUUAACUUAGGAAUUGCAUUCGAUACUGGUCAGCUAGAGUAUGGGAGAGGAUGGUAGAAUUCCAGGUGUAGCGGUGAAAUGCGUAGAGAUCUGGAGGAAUACCGAUGGCGAAGGCAGCCAUCUGGCCUAAUACUGACGCUGAGGUACGAAAGCAUGGGGAGCAAA